UACAGAGGUCUCAAGCGUUGUUCGGAUUCAUUGGGCGUAAAGGGUGUGUAGGUGGCGCGCUAAGUCGGGUGUGAAAUUUCGGAGCUUAACUCCGAAACUGCAUUCGAUACUGGCGUGCUUGAGGACUGGAGAGGAGACUGGAAUUCAUGGUGUAGCAGUGAAAUACGUAGAGAUUGGGAAGAACACCAGUGGCGAAGGCGGCUAUCUGGACGGUUUCUGACGCUAAGACGCGAAAGCGUGGGGAGCAAACAGG
rnacentral:rRNA from 1 species